GCCUGCUUGGCUGUGUCGGUGAAGCAGGUGACUCUUGAUCUCAGGGUUGUGGGUUCGAGCCCCACACCGGGUG
rnacentral:tRNA from 1 species